UUAAAUGGAUGUUGGAUAUUGUCCAAUGCCUUUCAACAUCCAAGAAUAUGAUGAUAUGAUUUUUCCCUUUUGUUCUGUUAAUAUGAGUACUAUUAAUAAAUUUCCUGAUGUAGAACCAUCAUUCAAUAUAUUUUUGAAAGUUUUACCAUCCAAAAUGGAUGAGAUUUUUUUAAAGUAUGGGAUAUUUAAUAGGGUAUAAACUUUAGACUGUUGGAAGCAUGAAAAUAUUUCAGAUUCUCUCAUUCCUCGAGGUUGUCUUUAAGGACAAGACUCAUAUGUGUUUGUUCUAAAAAGUGAAUUUAAAAUCAGUUGUAUUAUUUUGAAUUUUUGCUUUGUGCUUCACUUAUAUUUCAUAUUUAUUGCCACUAGAUGCUUUAGAGUAUAGCUGACUGGGUUUAAAAGGUGCUGAAAUCUUUCAUAUUUAGAAGGCAUUAUGAUCUACUGGAAAGAGCAUGGACUUUUGGAAAGACAGUUGGAUUUCAAAUCCUGGCUCUACCAUUUUUCAAUGAUUUUCUCUUAUGUAAUUGGUUUUGGGAGCAAACAGUGACUCCUUUGCACAGAGAAGGAGUCUUACUGAGUAGAGUGAGGAGUGAGAUGUGAGAAAUGGCUUCUCUUAUUACAAACUCAUGGGAUUGUUGUAAAGAUUGUGUGUGGUACUUGUGCCCACUCAGUACAGUGCUCUUUAUUUAUAGACCUGAAGGUUGUGUGCAAAACUUUCAGUGAACCUGAGGUUCUUCCUAAUCUACUCAUCCAUGGAGAUAAUAUUUAAAUGUCCCUGAGAUGAAAGUGUUUGUUUUAAAUAAUCAUACAUAUGUGGUUAGAACCAAAAGUAGGUCUGAUUGGAAUAUGUUCAAGAUUCUGUCUAAUUCACACACGACUACAUUCCAAUUUACACCCACACAAAGUAAACUUUUAAAUCUCUUGCCUAGCUUGUGAGCCUUAUAGCUCUUUUGGAAGAUUAGUUUUUAAGACUGACUUAGAACUUAGAGUUCUAAAAGGGUUUUUUUCGGGGGCGGGGGGUGGACUUUUUUAAGUGGAAAGUGGUUUCUUCCCAGAUAUACCAAUUGCUAUGACUGGAGUUCCUCAUCAAAUUAGUAAACUGUAAUCUUCUUUAUUUCCUUUUGUAAGACAUGAGGUUUUAUAGGAAUAAUGAUAUUCAAUAGUUGUUCAAGUUUAAUGUUUCCAAACAGUCCUUUUAAACCCCUGUAAAUUCUAUUUUUGAUUGUUCCUCACAGCAUGUUGAGUGCUUCGUAAAGCUAACCUGAGAAUUCAAGAUGGAAAGCAUUCCUGGCAUAGUAAGACAUCAAGGUUUCACUCCCUGCUCUUCAGCUUCCAGGAACCCAUCUCUCACAUCUGGCCACUCCUUGCUCCAUCCAGUAUGACCCCUUCACUCUGUGGAAAGAAUCACUGUUUGUUUUGAACCAGAUGUUCUCCCGCAGGGCUCUGCUUGAAGUCGGGUUCCUAUGGAUACGUCCUGACACCAGGAAGCACACAUUGGGUUGAGUUGACUCAUUCAGCCUGUAAUAGCCUCUCCUAUCUGACUGCAUCAUUUGUGUACACACCGUAUAAAUAUGUGCUUGAGGAGAAUUGGACCAUCUGAUGAUUGCGAUCCCGUCACUAAAGGUGUGACUUUUUGCCUGUAAAAUCCAUUCUUAAAUGGGUUAUUGUGUUUGAAGUGAUUUAUUGCAAUCUUUAGAGAUAAAAUAUGAAUACUGUACGAGGGGUGUGGAAACCAAGGUGCAAAAUGGUAUGUUUUAUGUAGAGGAGUAAUCAGAAAAUAAUGAGCAUGCAUUCUAAGAAGGGUAAAGUCACUCCAGUGGAUUGAAAAGACUUCCUUUUAUUGCAAGUUGAACCGGUGCAGAGCUGGACUCAGGCAGUAAUAAAGUGGCGCUACAUUCCUUUGCAUCUGAUUUUAUGAGAGCUUUAUGUGUCAGUGCGACUUUCCUCUUUAUGUAUUCAUAUUUUAGUUUUAAUAUAUUUGCUUAGAGUUUGAUUUUUUUUUAAUGAGAUAAAGCUUCAGGGUGAAAAUGUAAUUGCUACUGUAUAGCGCCUGAGUUAUGAGUGGCAGGGGAGGAGUCAGGAAAGGAAGAAUGUAUUCGGAAGUGAAGAGCAGCUUGUGUUUCAUUUAAAAAGGAAAUGCUUUUUAUUUCCAUAUAUAGUGACUUUUUCUCUGGGUGAUUUACCUAUACCUAACCUUUUCUAUUUCGUUCUUCGUCUUUUCCUUUAUACUUUCUAAGAGCUUGCCUAUAAUGUAUAUUGGAAAUAUUUUUCCUCAUUUGUGAUUCCUAUUUCAGUUUUGUUUGUGAUUUUUUUUUUGACAUCGAGAAAUUUAAAGUUUUCGUGUAGUAAAAUAUAUGAAUAUUUUCCUUUGGUGUUUCUGCCUUUAGUGUUCUUUAGUACCCUAAGAUUACAUAUACAGUUAUAUUUUUAUUCACUAAUAUCAUGGUUUCUUUUUUUUAUUAAGGUAAUAUUGGUUUAUAACAGUAUAUAAAUUUCAGGUGUACAUCAUUAUAUUUCAACUUCUGUGUAGACUACAUUGUAUUCACAAACCAAAAGUCUAGUUGCCAUCCAUCACCAUAAAUGUGCCGCGUUAUUCAUUUCGCCCUUCCCUCAUCUCCUUCCCCUCUGGUAACCGCCAAUCUGUU